GAUGAACGCUGGCGGCGUGCCUAAUACAUGCAAGUCGAGCGAACAGACGAGGAGCUUGCUCCUCUGACGUUAGCGGCGGACGGGUGAGUAACACGUGGAUAACCUACCUAUAAGACUGGGAUAACUUCGGGAAACCGGAGCUAAUACCGGAUAAUAUAUUGAACCGCAUGGUUCAAUAGUGAAAGACGGUUUUGCUGUCACUUAUAGAUGGAUCCGCGCCGCAUUAGCUAGUUGGUAAGGUAACAGCUUACCAAGGCAACGAUGCGUAGCCGAACUGAGAGACGGAUAGGCGGCAUGGGAGCGGGGACGCGCACCAGGGGACUGAGGGACGGAGCAGUAGGGAAUGGUAGGCAGUGGGGGAGAACCUGACGCAGUGAGGCGGAGUGUGAGAUGACAGCGCUCGGAUCGUAAUGCUGUGUUAUUGGUGAAGAACAGCUGUGUAAGUAAAUAAGGAGGUAGUGACGGUACCGGGUAAGAAGGCAACGGCUAACUACGUG
rnacentral:rRNA from 1 species